UUGGGGGCCUUUUUCACAUGCGAGUUCGGACGGGAUCUUCGGAUCUAGUGGCGGACGGGUGAGUAACGCGUGAGAAUCUGCCCUUAGGACGGGGACAACAGCUGGAAACGGCUGCUAAUACCCGAUGUGCCGAGAGGUGAAAUGAUUUAUUGCCUGAGGAUGAGCUCGCGUCCGAUUAGCUAGUUGGUGGGGUAAGAGCCUACCAAGGCGACGAUCGGUAGCUGGUCUGAGAGGAUGAUCAGCCACACUGGGACUGAGACACGGCCCAGACUCCUACGGGAGGCAGCAGUGGGGAAUCUUGCGCAAUGGGCGAAAGCCUGACGCAGCGACGCCGCGUGAGGGAUGACGGCCUUCGGGUUGUAAACCUCUUUCAGCUCCGACGAAGCGAGAGUGACGGUAGGAGCAGAAGAAGCACCGGCCAACUACGUGCCAGCAGCCGC
rnacentral:rRNA from 1 species